UGGCUACAUCACGCUGAAAAACCAGUUCCCGUACAAUCACUGAAGUUAAGCAGCGUUGAGCCUGGUCAGUAUCUAGGUGGGCGACCCCUUGGGAAUAUCACGUGCUGUAA